rnacentral:rRNA from 1 species
GACGAACGCUGGCGGCGUGCUUAACACAUGCAAGUCGAACGGAAAGGCCCUGCUUUUGUGGGGUGCUUGAGUGGCGAACGGGUGAGUAACACGUGAGUAACCUGCCCUUGUCUUUGGGAUAUAUUCAGGAAAAUGGGGCUAAUACCGGAUAGGAGCUCCUGCUGCAUGGUGGGGGUUGGAAAGUUUCGGCGGUUGGGGAUGGUCUCGCGGCUUAUCCGCUUGUUGGUGGGGUAGUGGCUUACCAAGGCUUUGACGGGUAGCCGGCCUGGGAGGGUGACCGGCCACAUUGGUACUGAGAUACGGCCCAGACUCCUACGGUAGGCAGCAGUGGGGAAUAUGGCACAAUGGGCGGAAGCCUGAUGCAGCAACGCCGCGUGCGUGAUGACGGCCUUCGGGUUGUAAACCGCUUUCGCCUGUGACGAAGCGUGAGUGACGGUAAUGAGUAAAGAAGCACCGGCUAACUACGUG